AGAAAGGUAGCCAGGCCACGCGAUGGUAGUCGUGGUCUAAGGUCGUAGCAUGUGGGGGUAGGCAAAUCCGUCCCCACACAAGUGUGAGAGCUGAUGGGCGCCCCACAAUGGGUGGGGUGAUCUGGUGAUCCUCUGCUGCCGAGAAAAGCAUCGACGUGAGGGUGUGUGUUGCCCGUACCCUAUAACCGACACAGGUGGUCAGGUAGAGAAUACUAAGGUGAUCGAGAGAAUCGUGGUUAAGGAACUCGGCAAAAUGCCCCCGUAACUUCGGGAGAAGGGGGGCCAUCCUGGUGAACAGCCCUUGCGGUUGGGAGCUGGUGGUGGUCGCAGAGGCCAGAGAGAAGCGACUGUUUAUUAAAAACACAGGUCCGUGCGAAGAUGUAAGUCGAUGUAUACGGACUGACGCCUGCCCGGUGCUGGAAGGUUAAGAGGACCCGUUAACCCUUUGGGGUGAAGCGGAGAAUUUAAGCCCCAGUAAACGGCGGUGGUAACUAUAACCAUCCUAAGGUAGCGAAAUUCCUUGUC
rnacentral:rRNA from 1 species